rnacentral:snoRNA from 1 species
ACUGUGCCUAUGAUGAAUGUUGAACCUGUGUCAGGAUUUGAACCACUGGGCAUGUAAAUCUCACUAGGUUUUUUUCUGAGGCAUGUU